CCUCAAAGUGUAUAAAUUGGGAAAGUGGCGUGACUACGGUGGAGUUUCGCUUCAAGUUCGCACCGAUCACUGUGUCGCCAGGUCUUUAUUCAGAGAAAACAGAUCGCAGCUGCCGAAGAGUAAUCUAACCAGCCUAACGUAGAAAUGAAGUCUUGGUGGAUUUUCAUCUUUUCUCUGGGAAUGCUAACCGUCCAAAAUCUCUCAGUGGACGCUAGCCCGGUGUACAUGAGAAUGUUUCCUCGAGAGCGACAGGAAUACGAAAGAAAUUGGCUUGAAGAAAGGAGAAACCUCUGCUAUGAUCUGAAACCCAUUGAGUGCAUUACGGAGGAGAGUCUAUGCGAUGAACUUGUCCACGCAAAAUAUGAGGACUUCCUCGCCUUCGCUCACUAUAAGUGUCCCUCCACGUGCAGGGUGUGUUAAGAGACCAUGUACUUGAAAACGGCAAGAUAUAAUGUUUACAUGUAAAGUUACAUGUUCUUCUCAAAACCUUUGACCAGCUGUCGAGAUACAUAUUCAUAUUUCAAUGUCAGUUAUUAAUUUGUUUAUUACGUAUUGCUGUUCUAGUCCUUUAUCAACAGAUUUAGCUACUUUUCCUUUUGGUCAAUGUUUCUCGUAUUAUACUACAAUUGUCAAUAAAAAUUCUUUUAGUCUACA